rnacentral:rRNA from 1 species
AGUGGACGCUGGCGGCAGGCCUAAUACAUGCAAGUCGAACGGCAGCACAGCAGAGCUUGCUCUGUGGGUGGCGAGUGGCGGACGGGUGAGGAAUACGUGGGAAUCUGCCCAGUCGUGGGGGGAUAACGUAGGGAAACUUACGCUAAUACCGCAUGCGCCCUUCGGGGGAAAGCCGGGGACCUUCGGGCCUGGCGCGAUUGGAUGAGCCCACGUCGGAUUAGCUAGUUGGCGGGGUAAAGGCCCACCAAGGCGACGAUCCGUAGCUGGUCUGAGAGGAUGAUCAGCCACACUGGAACUGAGACACGGUCCAGACUCCUACGGGAGGCAGCAGUAGGGAAUAUUGGACAAUGGGGCGCAAGCCUGAUCCAGCCAUGCCGCGUGAGUGAAGAAGGCCCUCGGGUUGUAAAGCUCUUUUGUCCGGAAAGAAAAGACGCCGGGUUAAUACCCUGGUGUCCUGACGGUACCGGAAGAAUAAGCACCGGCUAAACUUCGUGCCAGC